rnacentral:rRNA from 1 species
CCCUUAGAUGUUCUGGGCCGCACGCGCGCUACACUGAUACGUUCAGCGAGUAUAUAACCUUGAUUGGAAAAUCUGGGUAAUCUUUUGAAUGCGUAUCGUGCUAGGGAUAGAUUAUUGCAAUUAUUAAUCUUGAACGAGGAAUUCCUAGUAAACGCAAGUCAUCAGCUUGCAUUGAUUACGUCCCUGCCCUUUGUACACACCGCCUGUCGCACAAACCGAUUGAAUGAUUCGGUGAAAAUUUUGGACAUCGAGAGUGGUGAUUAAUUUCGCUGCUCUUAAAUGGAAAGAAUUUAAACCUAAUUAUUUAGAGGAGUGUGAAGUCAUAACA